rnacentral:rRNA from 1 species
GAUGAACGCUGGCGGUAUGCUUAACACAUGCAAGUCGAACGGUCACUUCAGUGAUAGUGGCGGACGGGUGAGUAACGCGUGAGAAUCUGUCUUCGAGGUCGGGGACAACAGUUAGAAAUGACUGCUAAUACCGGAUGUAGCCGAAAGGUUAAAAGAUUUAUUGCCUGAAAAAGAGCUCGCGUCAGAUUAGCUAGUAGGUGGUGUAAGAGACUACCUAGGCGACGAUCUGUAGCUGGUCUGAGAGGACGAUCAGCCACACUGGAACUGAGACACGGUCCAGACUCCUACGGGAGGCAGCAGUGGGGAAUUUUCCGCAAUGGGCGAAAGCCUGACGGAGCAAUACCGCGUGAGGGGACGAAGGCUUUUUGGGUCGUUAAACCUCUUUUAAUUAGGGAAGAGUUUUCAGGUACGGUACCUAAUGAAUAAGCAAUCGGCUAACUCUGUGCCAGCAGCCGCGGUAAU